CAAGCCAGUUCUUAGUUAGACGGCAACUUACUUUUUAAAAAAAAUCUUUAUCCAAUUAGUUUGAUAUGAUAUGAAACAUUAAAGUGCAACAAAGCAAGAAUCAGAACAAACAUUUUUAAGAGGGGAAACAACUAUUUAGGACCAACACCACCCACAUAUCUUAUUUUGUAAGCCAGUGACAGACAACUGAUUUUCCAAACUUUUUCUUUUUCUUGCAAGAGCACAAUGGGCCGCAGAUUACAAUUUGUUAACGUUACUAAUCCCUUUUCCCUUCAUUUGACCCCCAUAAUAUUUAUCUUCCCACUCUCGUUACAGCCACGUACAGCGCAGUUUCACAGCUAAGACACAUUCCUCUCCUAAAAUAGGCCCAGAAGGAUCACACGCGCAGCAAAGCCGGAGAGCAGAUAUAAAUCCCUCUCGAGCGAAUCCCCGGUAUGCAUUAGGAGCGCGUUAAAGUGCGUUAUCGUGGUCGUCAUGCAGCUGCAUGGGCCUCUGUCAAACAUGCUGCUUGAGUAGCAGCUGCAUCUGGGGGAGGAUGAUAAGACCCGGGCCAGAACAGAGGAGGACGUCCUCCCUCUCUCACUCAGUGCUUGCCAUGACAACCUGACAAACGGUUACUAAGGAAACAGGAUUACAUCCUAACACUUUACAUGAUUAGAGCUCAUCUCUGCGAUGGUAUCCUUCCUUCAGGAGAUUACCUCCUGGUUCAUUUUUUCUUCAGUUUCUCGGUGGUAAUGGGUCUUUGACUUUUCUGAGGAGGGUUUCGGUGAAUGAGGAUGCUGCUAGUUAGCAUCACAGAUACGACAGGAGGAGGUGAGGCGAGCGGAGUCCAUAACUGCACAGCAGCCAGAAGCAAUCAACAAACCGUACACUCAACACGGAGUGUCUUGACAUUUAAAGUUUUGUUCCAAAUCAAUAAUUUAUUUGAUUAUUACCUCACUACUUAUGACAUACCGUUAUCUCACUCAGGUGUCAGAAUUUGGAGACCUUAAAUCCAAGCAUUCUGCUUCAGAAACACAAACUGGUUGAGCUUCAUAUACAGUAGAAGAUCUUCUAUUCAUAUUUCACCCUAGAUUGUAUUGUGAAAAUUACAAUAACACAUCAAGAAAUAUACCUACCUGUCAGCUCACAUGGAGCAUCUGAGGGCCAAAGCUAAUCUAUUAACUAAUGCUAAUAUAUUUGGGAGGAGCUUUCCAGAACAUUGUCAAUCUUAUCCAAAAAUUCAGCAAAGACUCUAAUUGCAGUUACUGCAAACACGCAAAAUGUUCAAAGCAAAGAUUUAUAAGCUUUGUCUGCUAAUGAACAUACUGGAUUAGCAUAAAAAAAUCACCAUCACAGAUUUAUGUUAUGUCCCUGGUCAUCUGAAAUGUUUGUUUCUUACUACAUAUAUCAGCGUUGUAGGUCAUUGAGUAAGUUGCUCACCAAUAUUAUUGCACACUUUGUAACUAAUGAUAUAGGGCUAUUUUGUUCUAUUCAAUUCUAAAACUUUCCUUUUAGUUGGUUGCAAUGAUUUUUUUAUUUUUUAUUUUUUCUAAGUUAUCACGUUGCGCAACAGUAACAAACCAUUGUGGCUCAGUUUUAUCCUAAUCUGCCAUGAUUCUCGUAUUGUAUUUUUUGGAUCCAAAUAAAAUCCACAACCAUCAGAUUUAUUUCUCCGCCCCUAAUUCAGCUACCUGUUAACAUUUUUACAGAUAUAUUAUACUUAUCAUAAAUACUUCACCAGGUCUCAAGGUGUAUAGUGAACUGACAGGAUCAUGCUGAUAUGUUACAUAAACAGCAGACAAAAACUAAAUAAAACAUUUAUCCCACUGCA